rnacentral:rRNA from 1 species
UACGGGGGGGGCAAGCGUUGUUCGGAAUUACUGGGCGUAAAGGGCGCGUAGGCGGUUCGCUAAGUUGAAUGUGAAAACUCUGGGCUUAACCCAGAGCCUGCAUCCAAAACUGGCGAACUGGAGUACUGGAGGGGAAAGCGGAAUUCCUGGUGUAGCGGUGAAAUGCGUAGAUAUCAGGAGGAACACCGGUGGCGAAGGCGGGUCUCUGGGCCGUAACUGACGCUGAGGAGCGAAAGCGUGGGGAGCGAACAGG